UAAUACGAAGGAUGCAAGCGUUAUCCGGAUUUAUUGGGUUUAAAGGGAGCGUAGGCGGACUUAUAAGUCAGUGGUGAAAUCUCGUCGCUUAACGACGAACGUGCCAUUGAUACUGUAGGUCUUGAGUACAGAUGAUGUUGGCGGAAUGUGUCAUGUAGCGGUGAAAUGCUUAGAUAUGACACAGAACACCGAUUGCGAAGGCAGCUGACAAAACUGUAACUGACGCUGAGGCUCGAAAGCGUGGGGAUCAAACAGG
rnacentral:rRNA from 1 species